rnacentral:rRNA from 1 species
UAUGCACGCUGGCGGCGUGCCUAAUACAUGCAAGUCGAGCGAACAGACGAGGAGCUUGCUCCUCUGACGUUAGCGGCGGACGGGUGAGUAACACGUGGAUAACCUACCUAUAAGACUGGGAUAACUUCGGGAAACCGGAGCUAAUACCGGAUAAUAUAUUGAACCGCAUGGUUCAAUAGUGAAAGACGGUUUUGCUGUCACUUAUAGAUGGAUCCGCGCCGCAUUAGCUAGUUGGUAAGGUAACGGCUUACCAAGGCAACGAUGCGUAGCCGACCUGAGAGGGUGAUCGGCCACCCUGGAACUGAGACACGGUCCAGACUCCUACGGGAGGCAGCAGUAGGGAAUCUUCCGCAAUGGGCGAAAGCCUGACGUAGCAACGCCGCGUGAGUGAUGAAGGUCUUCGGAUCGUAAAACUCUGUUAUUAGGGAAGAACAAAUGUGUAAGUAACUAUGCACGUCUUGACGGUACCUAAUCAGAAAGCCACGGCUAACUACGUG